GGUUACCAGCACGUUAUGUGGGCACUCUAAGGAGACUGCCGGUGACAAACCGGAGGAAGGUGGGGAUGACGUCAAGUCAUCAUGGCCCUUACGGCCUGGGCUACACACGUGCUACAAUGGUCGGUACAAAGGGUUGCCAAGCCGCGAGGUGGAGCUAAUCCCAUAAAACCGAUCGUAGUCCGGAUCGCAGUCUGCAACUCGACUGCGUGAAGUCGGAAUCGCUAGUAAUCGUGAAUCAGAAUGUCACGGUGAAUACGUCCCCGGGCCUU
rnacentral:rRNA from 1 species